rnacentral:tRNA from 1 species
GCGUAAUUGGUUUAGUGGUAAAAUUCUCCGUUGCCAUUCAGAUGAUAUCGGGGAGCCCUGGGUUCGAUUCCCAGAUUACGCA